rnacentral:lncRNA from 1 species
CUGUUUUGGCCCAGUAAGACCCUUUCCUUAUCUGUUACGGACCAGGAAGAACCCUUGCUUCUGUGUUUCGGCCCACCAAGUCCCACUUCCUUCCAUGAUAUGGUCCAGAAGACCACUUCUUUCAGGUUUCUGGCCCAGCAUGCCCUCUUCCUACUGUGUUUUGGCCCAUCAACUACCAUUUCUCCACGGUUUUGGACCAGCAAUCACCCUUCCUUCUGGUUAUCGGCCCAGAAAGCACCCUUCCUUCUGUGUUUUGGACCAGCAAGACCCCUUGCUUCUGUGUUUUGGACCAGCAAGACCCCUUGCUUCUGUGUUUCGGCCCUGCAAGACAUCUUCUUUCAGGGUUCUAGCCCAGCAUACCUACUGCCAUCUGAGUUUUGGCCCAUCAGCACCGCUUUCUACUCUGUUUUGCCCCAGAAAUCCCCCUUCCUUCUUGGUUUUGGCCCAGAAAGACCCGUUCCUUCUGGGUUUUGGCACAGCAAUACACAUUCUUUCUGGGUUUCGGCACAGGCAGCACCCUUCCUUCUGGUUAUUGGCCCAGAAAGCACCCUUCCUUCUGUGUUUCGGCCCAGCAAUUCCCCUUCGUCCUGCAUUUCUGUCCAGAAGACCCCUUCUUUUGGGUCUUUGGCCCAGCAUGUCCACUUCCUUCUUGGUUGUAGCCCAUCAACAACCCUUUCUCCUUGGUUUCGGACCAGCAAUCCCCCUUCCUUCUGCGUUUCAGCCUAGCAAGACCCAUUCCUUCUCUGUUGCAGCCCAGCAGUACACAUUCCUUCUGGUUGUCGGCCCAGAAAGCACCCCCUGCUUCUGUGUUUCAUCCAUGCAAGACCCCUUCCUUCUCUAUAACGGACCAGCAAGGCCCCUUCCUUUUGCAUUUCAGUCCAGAAGACACCUUCUUUCAGGGAUUUGGCCCAGUAUGCCCACUUUCGUCUUGGUUUUAGCCCAUCAACUUCUCUUUCUCCUUAGUUUCGGACCAGCAAUCCCCCUUCCUUAUUGGUUUCAGCCUGAUAAGACCCAUUCCUUCUGGGUUUUGGCACAGGCAGCACCCUUUCUUCUGGUUAUCGACCCACCAAACUCUCUUCUUUCUGGGUUUUGGCCCAGCAAGCUCACUUCCUUCUUGUUAUCCACCCAGAAAGCACCCUUCGUUCUGUGUUUCAGUACAGAAAGAUACAUUCCUUCUGUGUUUCAG